UACGAAGGGGGCUAGCGUUGUUCGGAAUUACUGGGCGUAAAGCGCACGUAGGCGGACUAUUAAGUCAGGGGUGAAAUCCCGGGGCUCAACCCCGGAACUGCCUUUGAUACUGGUAGUCUCGAGUCCGGAAGAGGUGAGUGGAAUUCCGAGUGUAGAGGUGAAAUUCGUAGAUAUUCGCAAGAACACCAGUGGCGAAGGCGGCUCACUGGACCGGCAUUGACGCUGAUGUGCGAAAGCGUGGGGAGCAAACAGG
rnacentral:rRNA from 1 species